rfam:Caenorhabditis briggsae complete genome, chrX
AUAACAUCUGAGGUAGUUUGCAAUGCUGUCGACGUAACUGAAAAGUCAACAUCAUUCCAACUUCCUCGGCUGUUCA